rnacentral:lncRNA from 1 species
GUGCAAUUAUUUAUACUUCACAGUGCCUUCCCAGACCUUCCACCUUAGGUUCUGCUGCAAAAAAGCAACAGUGCUGAAGAUGCUGCAAGCACCAAAUCAUAGCUCAUAGAAUCAGGUCCUGAGAUAGUUACUACCAGUAAAGAGGAAUCCUUUGAGUGUAUGCCAUUGGUGAGCCGAUGAGCAUGGACCAUAGAAGGGCUCCAUGUAGAAGGUAAAAUUGGCAAAAGCAUAACAGAUUUGAAAUGUAUCCCAUGGUGUAGGGUAUAAUUUUGUUUUGAUCACUUCUCAUUCUUGAAAGUAUUAUUUGUUUGACCAUAAAUGUUCCAUGA